rnacentral:rRNA from 1 species
GACGAACGCUGGCGGCGUGCUUAACACAUGCAAGUCGAACGGAAAGUCGCUGCUUUUGUUGGGUGCUCGAGUGGCGAACGGGUGAGUAACACGUGAGUAACCUGCCCUUUACUGUGGGAUAACUUCAGGAAACUGGGGCUAAUACCCGAUAGGAGCUCCUGCUGCAUAGUGGUGGUUGGAGAGUUUCGGCGUUUGUGGAUGGACUCGCGGCUUAUCAGCUUGUUGGUGGGGUAGUGGCUUACCAAGGCUUUGACGGGUAGGCGGCCUGAGAGGGUGACCGGCCACAUUGGGCCUGAGAUAGGGCCCAGACCGCUACGGGAGGCAGCAGUGGGGAAUAUUGCACAAUGGGCGGAAGCCUGAUGUAGAAACGUCGCGUGCGGGAUGACGGGUUUCGGGUUGUAAACAGAUUUCGCCUGUGACGAGGAGUGAGUGACGGUAAUGGGUAAAGAAGCAACGGCUAACUACGUG